rnacentral:rRNA from 1 species
GUGUCAGCCGCCGCGGUAAUACGUAGGGUGCGAGCGUUAAUCGGAAUUACUGGGCGUAAAGCGUGCGCAGGCGGUUGUGCAAGCCAGGUGUGAAAUCCCCGGGCUUAACCUGGGAACUGCACUUGUGACUGCACGGCUAGAGUACGGUAGAGGGAGAUGGAAUUCCGCGUGUAGCAGUGAAAUGCGUAGAUAUGCGGAGGAACACCGAUGGCGAAGGCAAUCCCCUGGACCUGUACUGACGCUCAUGCACGAAAGCGUGGGGAGCAAACAGGAUUAGAAACCCGUGUAGUCC